rnacentral:lncRNA from 1 species
GCAGUUUGCGGUUUUUUUUCUUUUUGGGCAGCAAUAGAAACUCUCACUAAGACUGUGGGUAAAGUGAUUUCUACAAGGUGGCCAGCGUCAUCAAAUGCUUCCCCCGGAGAGGAUGGAGGAGACAGCAGAUUGGAGGUUGCUGGGACACUGUGAUACCAGGACCACAGACCCAGGGUGUGCACCAUGAUAGCUGAAGAGCUGAUUAACUCCUGCAGGAAAUGUAUAGCAGAAUGAUAUCACCUCAGGCCAUCCUGGAGCUCACAGCAAACUGGUUCUGCUCAUGCUCACUGUCACAGAAAGGCCAUCCUGGGAAGUGAGGACAGCUUAUCCUUCUGGUUUAUCUGGGCAGUGAUGGCCCAAGAGCUCCAGCAGCUACAGGCACAUAUGCAGGGACCAAGUGCAUUCCUCCCCUGUUGCCCUCAGCUGUGCCCCAGAUCCAGCCCAGAUGAGUGGUACUCUCCUCAGUGAGGAGGCUGGAGGGAGACCUCAGGCCAGACCGUCCCGGUCCCUUGUCUUGGCUCAGGGACUACUCUGUGCUCCUGGGGACCUUGUUUGGAAGGAAUGUGUUGAUCUAGUUCUCCAGGGGUAGGGCCGAGGAGUUCCAUGGCCCUGGACUGUAGUGUACUAACCACGGACCAUAUUCUUGUUAAGACACCAGACGUGAGGCAGGGUCCCAGUCCAGCCUGUCCUCAUCCUAACUGUGGUGUUUGGAAGACCUCACCAGGGGAACAGACAUCUAUCUAGAGUUCAUUUUGCUCUCCACUUGCAUUUUACAGCCACAUCCUGACUUCUCAUUCCGAGUGGGUCAACCACUGUGAUGUGCUAUAUUGCGACAAGGGAUCAGAGUGGUGGUGUCAGAACCCUUUGUCCUCUCCUGCUUCCCUGGCUGGGUUCUGGAUACGGCAAGGAGACCCUUCAAGUGUGGGUAAAGCCAUGCCACAGGGAAGCAUUGACGGCUUGGGUCAGCCUCUGGAGGGAAGAAGUACCGCCCCUGCCCAGCUUAGCCUGGUCCUGAUAACUCCCUGAGGUAGUGGAAGUCUGGCUUAGCAAGCACUGGCCAGGUCUCUAGACUCCCUGCCCUCACACAGAGUUGAAGGCAACAGAUGGCACAAGACCCCACCAGGUCACAGGGGCAAACUGGCAAGUCAGAAUUGGACUCAGCUAGGGCCAGAAGUGCUCAGGAGAGACCAGAUGCACUGGAGGGAGCUGUCCCCAGGCGCUGUAAUGACCAGAUCUUGCUGGCAGUCUAAUGAGGCCUAGAAACCCACAAGUCCUCUGGCUACUACACACCCUGGGACCACCUGUCCCACCUCUGCUGCUCUUGCUCUAGCAAGGGCAUGUCCCUCACUACUGGCUGGACACUUGGAUGACCUUGACUUCCUAGUCCAGGCACCAGCUUGGAACCCCUGAGGGUAGUGAGCUGGAAGCUGGCCUUCCCCCCCUCCCGAGGGGAGACCUUGAGUUGGGUGAGAUUAACUGUGAGCCUCAGGGGGAGGUUCAACUCAGAUCCCAGGGAGAGAUGACCAACUCAAGACCCCCACCCUAUACCACUGUUGUCUCAGGAUGUGGCCCCCUAAGGAAUGGCCUCCAAAGAUGGCCAUAUCCUGGAACCUGCAGAGAUGGUACCUGGCAUGGCAAAGGCUCUGAUGACAGGAUUCAAUGGAGGUCUCAAGUGGUAGGUGAUCCUAAUUGCUGUGGGGUCCAGUGUCACACAUUAGGAAGCGGGAAGGUCUGAAUCGUGAGACUUGAAAGGUGCUGUGUCUGAUAGCAAACACGGAGAAAGGGCCACAAGCCCAAAGUGCUUCAGCCUUGUGCCUGGCACUUUCAGAAGCAGCUGAUGCUGCCAUCUCACCUGAAUACACCCAGCCUCUCGAUCUCUAAAUAACAAAGGUCUCCUUAAAUGGAAGAAGUAGGCAGUAGUCUCUGGACACCAGACUGUCUGUUCUGUCCCUGUCAGCCUCUGCAGGACCCCACAUCCCCUCGUGCUGAAUGGCCAAAUAGGGACCCAAGGAUCUCUUCUCUAAGACCCUCCUACCCCCUUGCCUUCCUCUGAUUUGCUCCAAUGCUUUACACCUAAGUCCUUAACAAAGUUAUGGUCAUGGAACUCCUAAGUCUCACCAUUCAACGUCACUGUCAAAGGUCAAGGAGCCAGGUGGCACGAGAACUCAGGAGCAACUGAACUGUUGGAUCGUUAGCCAAUGGCUGGUCUUCAGCUCCUUGCAGGUGGAUCACCUGGGCAUACUCCAUCUCUCAGUGCCCACCAGAGAAUUAUUCGGGAAGCCUUAGGGCUGGCCCUAAAGCACCCAAUAGUUCCCUGAGACAGAAGAGAGUGAAGGGUGAGCUGCCGGCCACCACAAGCACACGCUUUCCUUUGAGGACUGUUUUGGGGAAUCCAGGUGCUCUUUCUGAGCAGUAACCACCAGGGACCAGCAGGGGAGAAAUGACCACACUAAGACAACUGCAAUGAAAAUAUUUAUUUGUGGAUAGUCAUAGAAGACAACAGACCAGCACAAAACAGACACAGCUACACAGUGCUGACAGGUGCUCAUGUCCACAAACACAUUGACAGGGGACACAGUACACAGGGCUUGGGGACUUGGGCAGGAGACCACCUGAGCCCGGAGCACACCCCUCCUGCGCAGCAGGGACUGAGGGGCCAACUGUGCUUUGCUCUGAAGGCCAGGGGACUCCACAGAGGGGUGGUCUCUGGGGAGGACUAGCAGGGUCGGGCCAGCCCCACAGGUGCAGCCCAUCCUCCAAUUGGUCCAGGUUCUCAACACACGGCUGAAGUUCUGACAGGCUGUGUGUCAGGAAUGGGCAGCUAUGAAGCUAGGAGCAUUUGAGGAGCCUGUGUCUCAUCCUCCAUUCACAAAACACUGACCCCUCCCCCAUCAUUCAGAAAAUGGUUUCAGGAUGUUUUUUUGGGACUCACUCAGGCCUGAGCUUUGAGGGGAUCUUCCUGCUCUGUGGGAUAUGAGAAGGAUAUGCUAAGCCCAUGUCCUCUAUUGUGUUCUGUCACCGCCCCCCCCCCCCCGGACAUAUCCUCCAUGUCAGGCAUGAAACUGGCAGCUCAGAGGCUUCCAGAGCCCCCAGUCCAAGUCACCUACACCUGCCUGCAUGGGGCACUGCCUAGCCCUGCAAGGCAGGCCAUGAGGUGCAGUCAUGGCUUUACCCAACGUCUCAUGGGACCUGCUGGCUCUAUAGGAUGGGCAGUGAGGUAUGGCCAAGGUUAUACCCAAGGCCUUCUGGGAGCUUCCAGCCAUGGAUGUCUGUUCCCACCCAUCUGUAGCUUCAGGGCAGAGGCAGCCCUAACUGGCUAUUCAAGAGCUGACGGGGACAGGGUGGGGUUCCCACGGGGACAGAGUGGGGUUCCCACGGCAUCAGGGAGACCUUUUCCACCUGGAAUGUGUAUCCUAUUGCACAAAGACCAGAAACUGCCUGAUGGUGAAACAGGGGAAGGAAUGAGGAGAUGCUGGCCCAGGGGAGCUCAGCCACAAGCAGGGAGGUAAUCCAAGGGAGAUGGAGACGCCUGCUCUGAGGAUAUCCUCUGCCUGCUUCAAUAGUGGGGAAUCUUAAAAUUGUGUUUAUUCCACUAGAAAUUAAAAAAGAAAGGAAGAGAAGGAAGAAGGGAGGGAGGGAGGAUGUAAGGAAGGAGGCAAGAGUGGGUAGGUGGGUGGGUGGGCGGUGUGAGUGUGGGUGUCUUACUCCAUAGCUCUCCUGCUGCCUCAGCCUCUAGGGUGCCUGCCACAAGAAUAAACCAGAGUCAGCAAGGAAACACAAACUGUCAGUUCUGGCCAUGCUGACGACACAAUGGCUUCCUGGGAUGUCAGGCUGACCUGGGGACACACUGACUCCCACUUACUGUCAGGUGUUGCACAACGCCAAGUCUGAGGCCCAACAGAAAGAUGUACACAGUAAAAAACAACCACCAAAUCUCCCAGCAGGAUGGCUGCUGUUUAAUCUGCUGGUACCAGCAUCCACCUGGGCCUCUGACACUGCUCCGGCUCCACCCCGACCCCUGCUGGUGGAUACUGAAACUGCAAGUGGAGGUAGAAACCUCUCUUCUCUGGUUCUGCAGGACUGGCACCAUCUACAGCUGUCACAGAAAGUGUGGGAAAGCAUCAGGACUGGCACAUGCAUGUCCAGCCGCACCUCCAUCCCAGGGUGCGUCUCUAUCAUUCAGGGGGUUGGGGAGUGACAUUCACUCAGACCUGGGAACCAGGUUCAAGCCUUCCCUGACUCACCGCUUUCCCUACAGAGACUGCAGCUCUAUUGUAACCUCACAUUGAACCUGACCUCCCAGAACUGCCCCUUGGAGGGACACCCAUUCUUAGCAUCCACUGGUGGCUUUUGUGGUCAGCAUCCAUCUGUCACAUGGACAGACAUGGCUUUCCAGGACCUCUCAGUGCAGGUAGCUGCGUGGAUGUCUGGAAGAGAGGCACCCCAGAUAGCAGCAAUAAAAGGGAGCACUGGUCAUAUGUGGUGUGGUGAUUCCUUCCUAGUAUUCAGGAGGUGGAAGGAGAUACUUUGAGACAGAAUCAAUGUCCCCAAUAGGAAGCG